UUUUAACCUGUUUCCCGCACCAGGGAUUGCAGCGGCAUCCUCUCCCGAAGUGGCUGGAAGCCUACUUUGGGAGAGAUACAGCGGAAAGCCUGACCCGCU
rnacentral:sRNA from 1 species